UAACUUUCUGUAGCAGCAUCACAGCUUCUGACACGACAAAUUCCCACCACAAUUUGAUACUCGUUACACAGAGAAAUGGCCGAUGUUGCCCCAGGGUAGCUGUGGAGUGUGUAUGUCAAGAAAUAAAAUGUGACACGUUUCAAUCCUCUGCAUAACUCAGCCUACAGAAGUAUUAGUCGUGUAUUUUUCCGCCAACCUUUAUUUUUUGUUUUGAAUUCAUCUCUUUUUUUGAGUUUGCAUUGCCACAUGAAGUAUCACACACACAAAAACUUAACAUGUAUUGAGUUCCCUUUUUUAAAAAUCACAAUUAUAAGUUUAAAUAAGACAUGGAGAAUUAAAAAUGAUCAGAGAACAUAUUAAUGAGAAAGGAGGGCAUAAAAGACCCUGAAAUAAGCUCAGCUCUACUUAACUGGGUUCUUUGCUUGGGAUUUUGAUCUUUGAAGACUUUCAUCUGGCCAAAAGCCUUAACAUUUUAUUAAAAAUGGAAACUCAGAUUUUCAUUUUGUGUCAUUUAUUAAAUUAAAGCAGCGAGAGCACUCAAAAGUGCAGGACAUCACUUAGCUAGAGCUAAAUGUUACAAUGAUCCAUCCUAAAUUAUUAUAUACACAAAAUUGAAACAGUUAAAUAGAGAUGAGAUCAAGCAUUCCAAGAACUCAGCUGACAAUAUAUAUGAAUGCAAGUAGUCCUCAAACUUACAGUCAUUCAUUCAGUUAGGAUUUGAGGUUACAACGGCACUGAAAAAGUGAUUUAUGAGCAGUUCUCACAUGACUGCCGUAGCAUCCCCACGACCACUUGAUCAAAAUUCAAGAGCUUGACAACUGUGCUUGACAGUUGCACUGACCUGGGGUCAUGUGAUCAUUUGUAACCAUCCCAGCUGGCUUCUGACAAGCAAAGUCAAUGGGGAAGCCAGAUUCACUUAAUGACAGCAUGAUUCGCUUAGCAACUAUGGCAAAAAAGUAAUGAAAUGGGGCACAAUUCAACUUUCUUGCUUAGCAACAGAAGUUGUGGGCUUGAUUAUGGUUGUAAGUCAAGGACUACCUACAUUACCUAUAUAAUUAAAAAUUUGUGGAUUGUUGGAGGAGAAUCCCCAUUUUCCACCACCAUUUUCCAACUUCUUUCGGAGUUGCUUGUUCAGUGCCUGACGUUUACCACUGCAAAGUUUUCCUGACUUGAACUCCAGGAAAUCAAGGUUUUUACCCCAGAUAGUACCAAGCUAAUAUCCCAAAGAUAUUCUCUUCUGCUGUGUAGUAUACAAUACUACUUAAAAGUUUUUUCUAUAGGUAAUCCUGGGUUAAAAACCACUAAUUCAGCAACCAUUCAAAGUUACGAAAGUGCUGAAAUGAGUCAGCUUACGACCAGUCACUAUUUUGGCUGUCCCAGCAUCUCUAUACCUUCUCACUAUAAACUUGGCGCUUGGCAACCCGUCUCACGUUAAUGAUAGUUGCAGCACCUAGUCACAUGAUCAUUUGCAACCUUCCCCGUGGCUUCCCACAAGUGACUCCAUUGACUUUAAUGGAGAAGCCGAUGGAAGAUUGCAAGUUGCUGGGUAAGUCUCCUCCAUUCGGUAGUAGCCAACCGCACUGAGUUGGCACUGCACCGGCCACCCGUGCGCACACUCUUCCCCAUAGCAACAGCCACUUUUGCUACCCACGCAACCUUCUGCAGCUGCCACUUAGCUGCCCACUGAACUGUUUGUGAACUACCUGGAACUUGCAACUUCCUGUCAGCUUCCCCACUGACUCUGGUUGCUGGAAACCCGCAUGAAGUUGUGAGGAGGUCCUUGCUUAACAAUGGCAACAGGCUUGCCGGGAUUGCCUUUGUUAAGCAAUGUGGUCACAUGACAUUGCUUUAUGACAUCACUUAGCGAUGGAAAUUCCGAUCUCAAAUAUUGUUGAGGACUACUAUGGUAUGUCACUAUGGUAUGGUUUAUGACCAAGUACAGUUUGUGACACAAUAACUCAGCAAUAAUAUUUUUUUAAUUAUUAAGAGAUUCUGCUUUAAUAUUCUUGGCUUAUCUAUGCUGGCUUACUCCUAGUUUCACCAUUGCCUGGUCCAGAUAAUACAGCUCAGAGAGAUGGCUCCUCAAGCGAUUUCUCAGGAAGAAAGAUGGCAAGCGAGGCGUCAGGAACAAAACGUGACUGAGAACUUUCUGAGGAAAACAAGGCAAAGGCACCUACCACAUGCUGAACCGUGAGCUGUUGGAUACCAAAGGGAUGCCCCACAAAUAAACUCCUCACAGCUUUAAGCUC